rnacentral:rRNA from 1 species
GUCUACGGCCAUGCCACCCUGAACAUGCCCAAUCCCAUCUGAUCUCGGAAGCUAAGCAAGGUUGGGCCUGGUUAGUACUUGGACAGGAGACCACCUAGGAAGACCAGUUGAUGUAGGUG